AGGCCUGUCUCUGGGAAACAUCAUGUUCUGCCCUAAUAAGCUAGGGCUUCCACAAAGUCUGCUUCCACAGGAGUGGUUCCUUGUGCGAGGCAAGCAUUCAGGUGCUGAGUGCAUGUAGGAGGCCGUUAUUAGUGCCGUCUGGGGAAUAGGCAAGCGGUGGGUACAGGCUUUACCCCCACACAUGUAGGUCCCGCCCUUUGGAAUCAUUGUGAAGCAAAGCGUUUUGCGAUUCUGAGGCAGAAAGAUAUUCCCGGGGUUCCAGGUAAGUGGUCUUGUUUCCAUGGCAACUUGGAAACGUGUCUCUCAACUGGCCAAUCGAGAACCGCCUGGUUCAAAGGGUACCGUCUCCUACCUCUGGGGCGUGGCGCUUCCUGGGAAAUGGAGUUCUGCUAGUAAUGCGUUUUCCCGGUUUUCGCUGGGAAACUACAAAGACCAGAAUUCUUUUCGGUCUCAGGAUUUGGGCACGCUUUUCAGGCAGCCAAUCGGUAGUCAGAGGUAGAUGGGGCCCGGAUGUUUGAAGUGGUCCGUAGAGGGGGAGAAGGCUGUGAUUGGGUGGUUUUGAGCAUGCUGUGUGCAGGUGUUGCGUUUCGCGGAAGGUGAUGCGGGGAGGGCGUGCAGGUUAGGUGUUUCAGGAACCGGCUGUUAACGGUGAGCCCCGCAGUGGCCCCGUCACGAGGGGCAUCACUGGACGCUGCGUCUGGCCCGGUCGCGGGAAACCUCAGUCGAUAGAGACGCAGGCAAGGACCUCGUUAUGGACCUGUAUGUGUUCACUGAUGGAGGCAGUGUGGAACGCGGUGGGAACCCAGAGGAGGGACAGUGAGUGGCUGGUGCGGGCCAAGAGGACAGAAUUCAAUGGAAUAAGGAGCAAUAACACAAGAUGGCCCCAAACUUAACGUGGGCUCACCUUCAGCUCAGCACCUGAAUGAGAUAAGGAUGCACUGGAGGAAUUUCAGAAAGAAGACAGAGGACAGUGACGGAGCCGGAGCCAGAAUGGAAGCUCCCACUGGGGGUCCUGAAACUGCGGGGCAUGGGCCCUGGCCCCACCCACUGCCGACUGCAGCCAGGUCAGCAAAGGAACCAGCCAUGGGCCAGCCCCGCCCCCCUUUCUUCCUUCCCCAUCCAACGGCAUCUCAGAAUGUACUUAUUAAAAUAUUAAAUAAAUAAAUAAAUAAAAAGAAGACAAAGUUAGCACUUGAAAUUUUCAAUCCAGGCAAUAGAGAACCACAGAAGUUCAAUGAUUGCCCUCAAAGAAUUCCUUUUCUUUUUCUUGUUUCAAAAGAAUUACAAUAUUUUAAAAUUUUAUGUAGGUAGCAAGCUUGGCCUAUGUUUGGAAAUGAAUUGUCAUGGUUUUAGAUCAGGGAAUAUGUAAUUUGUUAUUGGAACAAGCACAAUUUAUACAUAUGGAUGCAGUGACCAGACUCUGGUUUUACUAUUGUUCUAAUGAGGCAUUGCAAAAUAAACCUUCCUAAACCA